UACGGAGGGGGCUAGCGUUGUUCGGAAUCACUGGGCGUAAAGGGUGCGUAGGCGGGUCUUUAAGUCAGGGGUGAAAUCCUGGAGCUCAACUCCAGAACUGCCUUUGAUACUGAAGAUCUUGAGUUCGGGAGAGGUGAGUGGAACUGCGAGUGUAGAGGUGAAAUUCGUAGAUAUUCGCAAGAACACCAGUGGCGAAGGCGGCUCACUGGCCCGAUACUGACGCUGAGGCACGAAAGCGUGGGGAGCGAACAGG
rnacentral:rRNA from 1 species